rnacentral:rRNA from 1 species
UACGUAGGGUGCAAGCGUUGUCCGGAAUUAUUGGGCGUAAAGAGCUCGUAGGCGGUGUGUCGCGUCGGCCGUGAAAACCUGGGGCUCAACUCUGGGCGUGCGGUCGAUACGGGCAUCACUUGAGUUCGGCAGGGGAGACUGGAAUUCCUGGUGUAGCGGUGAAAUGCGCAGAUAUCAGGAGGAACACCGGUGGCGAAGGCGGGUCUCUGGGCCGAUGACUGACGCUGAGGAGCGAAAGCAUGGGUAGCGAACAGG